rnacentral:piRNA from 1 species
UCUUGGUAUUGGAGAGCACACUUUGUU